rnacentral:tRNA from 1 species
GGGUCGAUGCCCGAGUGGUUAAUGGGGACGGGCUGUAAACUCGUUGGUGUUAAUACCUACGCUGGUUCAAAUCCAGCUCGGCCC